rnacentral:tRNA from 1 species
GGGCGAUUAACUCAGUUGGUAGAGUAUUUGCUUGACGUGCAAAAAGUCAAAGGUUCGAGUCCUUUAUCGCCCACCA